rnacentral:tRNA from 1 species
GGGGCCUUAGCUCAAUUGGCAGAGCGUCGCUUUUGCAAGGCGAAGGUUAGGAGUUCGAUUCUCCUAGGCUCCACAA